GGGGCCGGGGUGACCGGCAACCAUGCUAGUCGAGCGGUAACAAGAUAACGCGUGCUUGCAUGCUGACGAACGGAGGAUGGGUGAAUAGUGGAGGGACAUCUGCCCGAUAUAGGCGUAUUACGGCGGAAAACGGUGGAUAACAGUGCAUAAUGCCUAAAGACCUUAUCGCGGGGCGCUACGGACCUCGUAGUGUCUGACGA
rnacentral:rRNA from 1 species